rnacentral:rRNA from 1 species
GAUGAACGCUGGCGGCGUGCCUAAUACAUGCAAGUCGAGCGAGCGGCGGACGGGUGAGUAACACGUGAUAACCUACCUAUAAGAAUGGGAUAACUUCGGGAAACCGGUGCUAAUACCGUAUUUUAUCGCUGGUUCCGCGCUGCAUUAGCUAGUUGGUGAGGUAACGGCUUACCAAGGCAACGAUGCAUAGCCGACCUGAGCGGGUGACCAGCCACACUGGAACUGAGACACGGUCCAGACUCCUACGGGAGGCAGCAGUGGGGAAUAUUGCACAAUGGGCGCAAGCCUGAUGCAGCCAUGCCGCGUGUGUGAAGAAGGCCUUCGGGUUGUAAAGCACUUUCAGCGGGGAGGCGUUACUCGCAGAAGAAGCACCGGCUAACUCCGUGCCAGCAGCCGCGGUAAUAC